rnacentral:rRNA from 1 species
UGCGUAGGCGGCUUUUUAAGUCGGAUGUGAAAUCCCCGAGCUUAACUUGGGAAUUGCAUUCGAUACUGGGAAGCUAGAGUAUGGGAGAGGAUGGUAGAAUUCCAGGUGUAGCGGUGAAAUGCGUAGAGAUCUGGAGGAAUACCGAUGGCGAAGGCAGCCAUCUGGCCUAAUACUGACGCUGAGGUACGAAAGCAUGGGGAGCAAACAGGAUUAGAUACCCCCGUA